rnacentral:tRNA from 1 species
GCGUUCGUGGUGAAAUUGGUAGACACGCUAGAUUCAGGGUCUAGUGGCUUAUGGCUGUGGAGGUUCAAGUCCUCUCGGACGCACCA